rnacentral:tRNA from 1 species
GGGGAUGUAGCUCAGCUUGGGAGAGCGCCGCGUUCGCAACGCGGAGGUCGCGGGUUCGAUUCCCGUCAUCUCCACCA